rnacentral:rRNA from 1 species
CGUUGUUCGUGAAAUCUCACGGCUUAACUAGUGAGCGUGCGGGCGAUACGGGCAGACUUGAGUACUGCAGGGGAGACUGGAAUUCCUGGUGUAGCGGUGGAAUGCGCAGAUAUCAGGAGGAACACCGGUGGCGAAGGCGGGUCUCUGGGCAGUAACUGACGCUGAGGAGCGAAAGCGUGGGGAGCGAACAGGAUUAGAUACCCUGGUAGUCCACGCCGUAAACGGUGGGUACUAGGUGUGGGUUUCCUUCCUUGGGAUCCGUGCCGUAGCUAACGCAUUAAGUACCCCGCCUGGGGAGUACGGCCGCAAGGCUAAAACUCAAAGAAAUUGACGGGGGCCCGCACAAGCGGCGGAGCAUGUGGAUUAAUUCGAUGCAACGCGAAGAACCUUACCUGGGUUUGACAUGCACAGGACGCCGGCAGAGAUGUCGGUUCCCUUGUGGCCUGUGUGCAGGUGGUGCAUGGCUGUCGUCAGCUCGUGUCGUGAGAUGUUGGGUUAAGUCCCGCAACGAGCGCAACCCUUGUCUCAUGUUGCCAGCGGGUAAUGCCGGGGACUCGUGAGAGACUGCCGGGGUCAACUCGGAGGAAGGUGGGGAUGACGUCAAGUCAUCAUGCCCCUUAUGUCCAGGGCUUCACACAUGCUACAAUGGCCGGUACAAAGGGCUGCGAUGCCGCGAGGUUAAGCGAAUCCUUUUAAAGCCGGUCUCUAGUUCGGAUCGGGGUCUGCAACUCGACCCCGUGAAGCCGGAG